rnacentral:rRNA from 1 species
GACGAAGGGGGCUAGCGUUGUUCGGAAUUACUGGGCGUAAAGAGCUCGUAGGUGGUUUGUCGCGUUGUUCGUGAAAACUCACAGCUUAACUGUGGGCGUGCGGGCGAUACGGGCAGACUGGAGUACUGCAGGGGAGACUGGAAUUCCUGGUGUAGCGGUGGAAUGCGCAGAUAUCAGGAGGAACACCGGUGGCGAAGGCGGUUCUCUGGGCAUUACCUGACGCUGAGGAGCGAAAGUGUGGGGGAGCGAACAGG